rnacentral:rRNA from 1 species
UACGGAAGGCAGCAGUGGGGAAUAUUGCACAAUGGGCGCAAGCCUGAUGCAGCCAUGCCGCGUGUAUGAAAAAGGCCUUCGGGUUGUAAAGUACUUUCAGUCGUGAGGAAGGUGUUAAGGUUAAUAACCUUAGCAAUUGACGUUAGCGACAGAAGAAGCACCGGCUAACUCCGUGCCAGCAGCCGCGGUAAUACGGAGGGUGCGAGCGUUAAUCGGAAUUACUGGGCGUAAAGGGCACGCAGGCGGUUAAUUAAGUUGGAUGUGAAAUCCCCGGGCUUAAACCUGGGAAUGGCAUUCAAGACUGGUUAGCUAGAGUCUUGUAGAGGGGGUAGAAUUCCAUGUGUAGCGGUGAAAUGCGUAGAGAUGUGGAGGAAUACCGGUGGCGAAGGCGGCCCCUGGACAAAGACUGACGCUCAUGUGCGAAAGCGUGGGGAGCAAACAGGGAUUAGAUACC